rnacentral:lncRNA from 1 species
GGGAGGGCGGGCUCGCCGGGUAGAAGUGACUUGAAGAAAGAGCGAGAAGUAUAGAAGGGCGCAGGCGCUAGUUCAGUGCUCGUGAGCAAACACCGUCUACAAGAUUCGAGUCAAACAACGUGAGAACUUGAAAUACGUCUCCAUUCUUUUUCCUUAGUACUCUCGUUCAUUCACUUACGACUUAGAAGCAACUUGAGGCAGUAUGGGAGCAUAAAAGACAGCCAGGAUGCCAAAGUCUCCGAGCAGUGAGUAGGAGUCUAAGAAGUUGGAAAGAUUCAUGGACCUCUUCCAGUAUGUGAAAGCCACAACUGUGGAGCAAAUGGGAAAGCAGGUUCUAGAGGUUGCCUGCAUUCCUUGACUCCUGAAUCUCUAUCACCUUCAGAGCCAGAUAUUUCCUGCUGAGUCUUUCUGAGGCUGCAUCACCCUGACCCUGACUCUUCCAUCUCCAUCCUUCAUGCUUAAAGGAUCCUGGUGAUUACAUUGGACCCUCCCGUACAAUCUAGGAUACAUUUUUAACCUUAAGGUCUUCAAGGGAUCACCACACUGUCUUCCACAAUGGUUGAAC